UUCAUGCCAAUCUCCUGUCCUCGCCACCUACUCCAUCCAGAUCCGGGAGUAGCCGACCACGACCCAACGACCCCCGAGCCGCUCUCCCCGAUCGCCGUGCCGAGCUCCCUCCGCGCCCUUCCCCCCUCUCCCCAUCCCCUAGCAGCUCCUACCAACUCCGGCCGCGCUCUUCACCAACCCAGGUCCGCCGCCACCCAUCUCAGAUCCGCCGCUCCCACCUUCCGCCGCGCCGUUGACCACCUCCCUCCGACGACCUCGUCCAUCGCCGUGUCGCGCCGCCAGACCCCGCAGCCUGCCGCUGACCUCGGAUGGCCAAGGCCGCACGCGUGGACGCAGCCGGCGAACUCCUGGACGACCUCCUGCUCCUCAUCUUCGAGCGCUUGCCGGGCGUCCAGGACCUCCUCCGCUGCGCAGCCACGUGCAAACAGUGGCUCUGCCUCAUCAAAGACUCGGUCUUCCUCCGACGCAUCGGCCUCUGGCCGGAGACGGCGCCCCACCCCUCGGUCCUCGUCGGCAUCUUCUACCAGAACGUGGUAGUGCCUAGCGCGAUUCAGCCCCUCAGAAGGAUACCCGAAUGUCCUCCCCAAUUCUUGAGCCUUCAGGCUGGGGGCGCCCAUCUGACGUUCGACUCCUUCGUCGCCAACGACGAUGGGCUCUUCAACUUUGCAUGGCCACUGGCAUCGCGCCGUGGUCUUCUUCUCGUGCACAUCAUGCUGCCUACCCCGGUCGACCACCAAGGCCACCGUCCGAAGCUCCUUCUUGCCGUGUGCCGCCCUCUGAUCGACAAGCGGCGCAGGCAUCUGCUCCCACCGCCUCCCUUCUUGGUAAGCCAUGGAUUCAUGAACGGGCACCGCCUAACUGGCUAUGCUCUUCUCACCGAUGAGGACCACCGUGCCAUUGAUGAUUUGGAUCAGCAACGACGACAACCGUCGUUUCAAGUCGUCUUGACUUACACAGGCGCCAACAGAGUCAUGUAUGCCUGUACGUACUCCUCUGCCACAGACAGUUGGAGCACUCCCAUCAGGUGCCACCAGGUUUCACACCUCGUCAGGUGUGGACCGUAUGCCGGCGUCGUCACCUGUGGCACCGUGCACUGGCUGUUCACAGACCAGAGAAGCUUCUACACACUCAAUGUAAGUGUCGCCACGGCACAUGUCUCAUCGACCAAGAUCCCCAUCAACGUCCGCGCUGGUGAGCAGCGGCGGCGAGUGCCGUUUCCAUGUGUCACUAGAGAAAGAAAGCUUUCUUUUGUGAGCAUUCGAGAUGAUGGUGUGCUAGAGCUUUGGGCCAAGCAAGGGCAUGAUGGCAAUGAUCAUGGCGGCGAGGCUGGUGCGGGAGGGUGGUUGCGCUCUGACCUGAUAAAUCUAGGAAGCGGUGAUAAAAUAAACCUCGUCUUCUUCGCAGAGAAGAGAGGUGCCAUGCUCGUCGAGCAGGGCGGUGCUUUCUUCACCAUUGAUCUCAAGAGUAAGGAAAAGGCGUUGGUCGAUCUCAAAGGUGAGGAAAAGAAGCAUGGCAGGGGCAUCUGCAGGUUUCCAAUGCAUCGCUGUAGUAGUAGUUGGUGUAGUGGAUUCCACUGCAGCUGGGGGAAGAUCAGUCCUUGCGCGUAUAACAAGCCUGUGCUGUACGAGGUGGAUUGGAUAAUUGAGGCAAGAUGAGGGCAGAUUGAGUCGACAAUUUCUUAAAAACUUGUGCACGCAGCAUGUUGGAUUUAAAGUAUGAGUGCCAAUAAAUCGGAGGUGCUGGAAUAAACGCAGGAUAAUGCACUGGAAUAACAGCUGAUGUUUCUUUUUGGGGCGCAUGUGUUAAUUCCAUCUGCAUUCAUUCUGACUGUUCUAUUUGGCUCAGUAUAUAACUAAAACUUUCUGUAAUGUUGUUUUUCGUCUGAAAUUCUGAUGUAGAAGAUUGUUUACAUGUAAUUACAACUGCCAUGUGUUUUCACUUCCGAAUCUAUCUAGGCUAGAAAUGCAAUAUCAGUGUCUCACUGUACUUUCAUCUGAACCAUGAAUUAUAUUUAUUUGUAUAUCUCAUGAUUGAUUUGAGUAAUGUGGUUGAAUUUGACAUGCCGACUAUGCAACGAUCUUUGUCUGCCGGGUUGUUUGGCCGUGAGUUGGCCAAAAUAUGACCUGAGUAGGCAUGCCAGUAAUCUUAACACAAGCACAUCACAGGCCCAAUCUGGUCAGCACAACCAAACUUGGAUCGGCGAUGCUUGCAAGUUGAGGCUGCAACAUGCAAGUGCACUUAAAAAUAGGCGAAAGAGAACAAUUAGUAGAACUGAUCACUGUAUAGUUUGCAGAUGUUGCAGAAAGAAAGAUACCCAGCAACUGAAGCUUUCUUUCUGGUUGUCUUCAGUUGAUACUGGCAGAGAUUGUUGUCAACAGUCUAUAAGGCUAAAUGUAUAAAGCAACGGUAACAGAAACAGAAACAUGCUGGGGAUACGAAGAUCAAAGAGUAAAAGGAAAGAAAAAUUCAGCCCUAAAGGCUGGGAAUGUUGGACAACACUCCCACGGUUGACCCCCAAAAGGCAGUUUGCACCUGCUAUUCUCCAUAGCUCUAUUGUUCUUGGGAUAUGCUUCAGUUAAUGUUAUGCUAAUUGAUCAUGUAUUUCACUUACGUCAGGCCGUCAACAAGGAUGCAAACGAUGUACCUUGAGAGAAGAAGCAGGAUUCGCCACAUCUGAUGAGGAGGAACACGAAAGAAGAAAUUGAUGAAAUGGUGUACCACGAAGAAGUUGCCUGAAAAUAGUGUUGAUGCUGAAUAAAAGCGUCACCUGCAGUAUUCUUGCUAGUAUGUCUUACUGUAUUUUCAAGCCUUAUUGCAGAUAAUAGAGUUGGUAAAAGAAAGCAACGCCGUACGUCAAGGUGGCUAUGAAUUGUUUCGACAACAGAAUUAUCUCUUCACCUGACUUUUUCCUUCCCUGGCACCCCAAGUCAUUGUCCAAAGAAACUGAAUGAAGUAGAUGUGACCUCGCACUGCUGACUAGGCAUGCAUAUGCGACUAUGCAAGUGUGCUUCUAAUCAGUUCAGUUCUGAUCAGACCAACCCAAGAAAAACUGGACGCCCGGCCCGGCAUUUCGCCUCCCUCACCGGACCGGCCCGGCCAAGCUUAGCUGCACCACCAACCCCGGCUUUGGAGUCGCCGAGUUUAUUUAUAGCGGCUA